CUUGGCAUAAAAUUUCAAAUUUGACUACGCCCCUAUUUGUGCCAUAUUUUCUCCCCAUUUUUAUUAAAAUUUUGACCGUUUCAACCACUUGCCUUUCGACACCAAAUACUGGUCAAUACUGUAGCAAGAGUUGUGACUUUACUCAUUUGUCCUUCGCUUUCUUUCCCAGUGGACAGCAAUACGAGUUCGAAGAGUGAACAAAGGACCCAUUUCCACUCAACCCCCAACAGCUGUGUAAACUCCGGCAAUUGUUCCCGUUUCUGCGAACCACGUGAGGACGCGACCGUCGACCGACUGCAACGUAAGAAAGCCCAGCACAACACUUGUUUUAUUUCUGUUGGGCUGCGGCCCUGAUCAAGAUUCGUUCCAUUUUCCAUUCUGCUUGGUCGGCUUGUUGUGUUCGGAGACGGGCAUCCUUGUUGCCGACGUUUGUUACCUACGAGCAAAACCCAUGGAUCCACAUUCGAGCCAGGUAAGGCGACUUGUAAACACCCCCAUACUGUUCGAUUUUCACCUCUCUAUCCGUUUCUAAUCCCCUGCAUUUCGCUUCCCGCAGAUGGGCUACAACCCACAUCCCGCGCCGUCCACUACACUGGAUGCCAGUAACGAGGCCGAAUCAAGAAGAAAUGCUCAGUGAAAGCCUGAGCAUAUGACUUUCAUAGCAGCCUAUGAAACUGCAAUUGCAGAAGACUACAGGCACGGCUGGUGCUUCACGAAGUAAGGGUGGGAGCACGUAAAUUCGUAGUUUGAGCACAAUUGGACGAAGUAACAACUCUACAACCAUUGGGAUGCAAUGCAUUGCGAUUACACACGCCUCCGCGACCUCCUUUCUUGCAGCGGGAUUGAACACGAUCUGUCAAUGGGCCGGAUCGUUGCUUCUGAGGAAUGGUGGACGAGAAAACUUCGAGUACAGCUAUGAUUUCUUUCAUUUCAUUUUUCAUGUCUGCAAUUUUUUGAUUGAAACAUUGUCCGAAGUUUAUGAAUUUCAGCACUGCCUUUACCUGAAAUCCUCCCCAAAUGAAAAUGUCGACUGGAUUGCUCCAAUAUACCGGUCCCCUUAAUGCUAUAACCCAAAUAUUAGUACAUCUCAUGAUGAAAAUUAGUUUACGAACUUACACAUGCUUUUCUCACGUAUAUUUGUUGCGUGACAUAUUGUAUUUAUCUUCAAUCGGUGUUAUGCUUCAGUGAUUUGUUGAGUGCCAUAGUGAGGACAUAUUAUCGCGCACAGCGCAAUCGUGUUAGGCAAUUCCUGUUCACCAGAAAUGGCCACAUGUUCAUGAUGGAGGCCAUGAGCAGGAUCGAUCUGAUUUGCCAUUAGGAGUUUCGAAUGUACCCGCCAAUGUUGUGACACUUUGCACAUGUCCUGCGAGACGAGUAUGGCUUAACAAGUAGCUAGUAGGUGGAUAUUUAUGAGAAAGUGGGCAUGUUUCUAUGCAAACUUGCACAUGGGAAGGGAUACCGACAGGUGACAACAAUCUUCAAUCAUUCUCUGUAAAUCGUUUGUCAAUUUGUUAAACAGGUGCUACAUGUCGUCAUUGCACUUUGGAACAUACUAUACAACCGACUCGAAACCACAAUGAUGGUGUCGAGCUACACAAGCUGGAUCCAAACAAGCAUCUGCUAUUUCAGGAUUUCAUUGGGGCUAUAGACGAAACACAUGUGAGAGCUGUGCUACCGCUUCAUGAGCGUGUGAACUUCAUUGGUGGGAGAGGCGUACCGACUCAAAAUGUGUUGGCCGCAUGUGACUUCAAUUUAUGUUUCACGUUCGUGCUUGCCAGGUACACCAGGAAUACACAUGAUGUACGUAUCCUAGCACGUGCCAUAUUCAGUCCGAAAAUAUAUUUUUUGCAUCUGGCACCGAGAAAGUGUUAUUUGGUGGACUCCGAUUUUACCCAUCGAUAGGGGUAUAUGACCCCGUAUAAAGGUUCAGAUAUAAUGUACCACUUUCAAUAGUCCUGCAAUGAACGAACAGGUCAGCGUCGUGGGUUUCAGAAUGCUCGUGAGAGGUUCAACUUCAGACACUCUUCGUACAAUAAUUUCAUUGAACAUGCAUUUGGUGUAUCGAAGCAAAGAUGGAAAUUCCUUGACCAUAUGCUUAGUUACUCGUUUGAAACACAAGUUGCAGUUGUCCUAGUCACAAUGGGUAUUCAUAAUUUUCUAUGUCGUGUUGGAGUUGUGGAUGAGGCAUUUGCUCGAGUGGAAACGGAUGACGACGUAGUUGAGGUGGAGCUACCUAAUGCUAAGGACGAAGUUCAGGCCGAAAUGAAUGCGUCGGAAAUGCAAGGAAGUGAGUGGGAUAGACUCCUAAUUACAUGGCACAAUAGCCGUGAGAAUCGCAUAUCUGAUUUGCAUCAUAUACCGGGACUUGGGGGACCGAUGGUGUGGUGCCCAUUUUAAUAUUUUUCAUCUUCCGGAGUAUUAAAAUUGCUAGGUUUGGGCGUCGUUGUCGUGAUGUGAGUUUUUUUUUUUUUUUCUGUGUUUGUACGGUGGGGUAUGGAAGAACGGAAAAUGUCGCGUGUUUUUUUUUCCAAAUUUGGGCGAUUAAUUGGUUCGUUAUCGGAUUAAGAGGGCGCAUACGGUUGGGUUCGUGGUUGUAAUUGGAGUUUUUCUUCCGUUUUGUGUACCAAUGUUAUGUGAUAUUAUUUGGAGUUGCAAAAUGUGGAUGGGGUGGUUGGGACUUAUUUAUUUGUCUCCUUUAGAAUAAUGGGGUUGGUUGGUAGCCUUUGACUUGUAUGGAAAGAAAAUGUCAACCUUUACUCCAGUUGCCUGAACUUGCACACGAG
rnacentral:lncRNA from 1 species